UAUAAAACAAAUAAUGAAUGUUUUUAUUCGUGCAAUGGUAAGAAUAUUUUCAUUCGGUGAAAGAUAGAAUGUUCCAUUCAACUCGGCUGUCGCCUCGUUGAAUGGAACAUUCCAUCUUUCACCUCAUGAAAAUAUUCUUACCAUUGCACGAAUAAAAACAUUCAUUAUUUGUAUAUUG
rnacentral:miRNA from 1 species